rnacentral:rRNA from 1 species
CCCUUAGAUGUUCUGGGCCGCACGCGCGCUACACUGAUGCAUUCAACGAGUUCCUACCUUGGCCGAGAGGCCUGGGCAAUCUUUUGAACUUGCAUCGUGAUAGGGAUAGAUUAUUGCAAUUAUUAAUCUUGAACGAGGAAUUCCUAGUAAACGCAGAUCAUCAAUCUGCAUUGAUUACGUCCCUGCCCUUUGUACACACCGCCCGUCGCACCUACCGAUUGAAUGGUCCGGUGAAGCCUCGGGAGUGUGGUUAGUUUCCUUCAUUGGAAGUUAGCCGCGAGAACUUGUCUAAACCUUAUCAUUUAGAGGAAGGUGAAGUCGUAACA